AACGAACGCUGGCGGCAUGCCUAACACAUGCAAGUCGAACGAGACCUUCGGGUCUAGUGGCGCACGGGUGCGUAACGCGUGGGAACCUUCCCUUAGGUUCGGAAUAACUCCCCGAAAGGGGUGCUAAUACCGGACAAUGUCUUCGGCCCAAAGAUUUAUCGCCUUUGGAUGGGCCCGCGUUGGAUUAGCUAGUUGGUAGGGUAAAAGCCUACCAAGGCGACGAUCCAUAGCUGGUCUGAGAGGAUGAUCAGCCACACUGGGACUGAGACACGGCCCAGACUCCUACGGGAGGAAGCAGUGGGGAAUAUUGGACAAUGGGCGAAAGACUGAUCCAGCAAUGCCGCGUGAGUGAUGAAGGCCUUAGGGUUGUAAAGCUCUUUUACCCGGGAUGAUAAUGACAGUACCGGGAGAAUAAGCUCCGGCUAACUCCGUG
rnacentral:rRNA from 1 species